rnacentral:rRNA from 1 species
UAGGGAAUCUUCGGCAAUGGACGAAAGUCUGACCGAGCAACGCCGCGUGAGUGAAGAAGGUUUUCGGAUCGUAAAACUCUGUUGUUAGAGAAGAACAAGGACGUUAGUAACUGAACGUCCCCUGACGGUAUCUAACCAGAAAGCCACGGCUAACUACGUGCCAGCAGCCGCGGUAAUACGUAGGUGGCAAGCGUUGUCCGGAUUUAUUGGGCGUAAAGCGAGCGCAGGCGGUUUCUUUAGUCUGAUGUGAAAGCCCCCGGCUCAACCGGGGAGGGUCAUUGGAAACUGGGAGACUUGAGUGCAGAAGAGGAGAGUGGAAUUCCAUGUGUAGCGGUGAAAUGAGUAGAUAUAUGGAGGAACACCAGUGGCGAAGGCGGCUCUCUGGUCUGUAACUGACGCUGAGGCUCGAAAGCGUGGGGAGCAAACAGG